AGAUGAGCCUAAGUCGGAUUAGCUAGUUGGUGGGGUAAAGGCCUACCAAGGCGACGAUCUGUAGCGGGUCUGAGAGGAUGAUCCGCCACACUGGGACUGAGACACGGCCCAGACUCCUACGGGAGGCAGCAGUGGGGAAUAUUGGACAAUGGGGGGAAGCCUGAUCCAGCCAUGCCGCGUGUGUGAAGAAGGCCUUUUGGUUGUAAAGCACUUUAAGCGAGGAGGAGGCUACUAGUAUUAAUACUACUGGAUAGUGGACGUUACUCGCAGAAUAAGCACCGGCUAACUCUGUGCCAGCAGCCGCGGUAAUACAGAGGGUGCGAGCGUUAAUCGGAUUUACUGGGCGUAAAGCGUGCGUAGGCGGCUUAAGUCGGAUGUGAAAUCCCCGAGCUUAACUUAGGAAUUGCAUUCGAUACUGGUCAGCUAGAGUAUGGGAGAGGAUGGUAGAAUUCCAGGUGUAGCGGUGAAAUGCGUAGAGAUCUGGAGGAAUACCGAUGGCGAAGGCAGCCAUCUGGCCUAAUACUGACGCUGAGGUACGAAAGCAUGGGGAGCAAACAGGAUUAGAUACCCUGGUAGUCCAUGCCGUAAACGAUGUCUACUAGCCGUUGGGGCCUUUGAGGCUUUAGUGGCGCAGCUAACGCGAUAAGUAGACCGCCUGGGGAGUACGGUCGCAAGACUAAAACUCAAAUGAAUUGACGGGGGCCCGCACAAGCGG
rnacentral:rRNA from 1 species